CUCAUGCCAUCCUCUUUCCCCUACCCCUCCUAGGCCACCACAGCCCCAUCAUACUCCUUGGCAGCCACCCAAAACCCUGCCUGGAGGCUUCUUGCAGGAGAGAGCCUGGGCUCAGAUUUUGUUAUAUUUUGUGUACGUUGUCUCCUAAUCCUCCCAGCAAACCUGGAGGAUGGGCAUAAGCCAUGAUUACAGACUGGACAGUGGGAUCCUAGACUCUAGUCACUCCCUUGGGGUCUGGCAGCUCCCACACACGGGGCAGGGCUCCAGCCUGACAGCAGAGGCUGUGCCGUGGGAUGACCUGGCAGUGGCCAUAUAUGGAAGGUGCUUGUGUGUGACUUUGAGGCCAGGUGCUCCCCUGGAAGGGCUGACACUGAAUUUGCAUCCUGCCGGCUUGUGUGGGGUGCAGCACUGAGAUUUGUCCCCUGGGGCUUGGGUUUGACUUCGCUCUGCAUGGCCUCCAAGGCCGAUUCCCUAAGUGUCUGAUGGGUGGAACUCCAGGCAGAUUUACUCAUGAGCAGCGCGAGGGCAACUCCAUGCAGAGUAACCCACAUUCUGAUUCAGGGUUUAAGAAAUUUAGAGGGUCACAUGUCACUCAGCAUAGCCUGUCUGAUAACAAGAGGUUGUGUAAUUAUGUUUAGAUUUCUAGGUUGGAAGAAUCCCUUAGGAAGUCAGUGCUGCAGAUAGAACAACUACAAAGUAUGAGAUCAUCACAACAAACAGCUUUCAGCACAAUAAAAAGUUCAGUUUCAAGUAAGUAAAAUCAUGCCAGAAAGAGAACAAAAUAGAGAUGUAUGUUGCUGAAUCACGCUGUAUGCACUGACGCUGGCAUUUUCGUCAUCACUCUUCCAGCAAAACCACACGGAUGCCUGCUGCCACCUCACUCAUCAGCCCCCGACAGUCCGAGAUAGCAGCCGGCCCUGCGAGAAUCUCCGUGAUUAGUCCACCUCAAGAUGGACGAAUGGGCAGCGUCUCCUCCCGGGGCCCCGAGCAUCCCGGCCUGACGCCGAGUCAGAGGAGCAUGGGAAAGCCUCUCAGGAUUCCACCUCUGCAAAUUCCCUACAAGGGACCCCCACUAACGCCAACACCACAGUUACCAGGGAGAGCAGGAAGAGGGGACUCUCCAAGCUUCGGGGGCUCCCAGGCCAGGCUGCCCCCCCGGCCGCCCAUCAGCAUCUCCAGCCUGCUGCAGAGGCAGUGUUUAGGCAAGUGCUCAGCCAGCCUCAGGAAGAAAAUGCUUUUGGGAAACUGCGUGUGUAAAGAAGCUCUUUAA
rnacentral:lncRNA from 1 species